GGUCUUAUGGUGUAACGGUUAGCACUCUGGACUCUGAAUCCAGUAAUCCGAGUUCAAAUCUCGGUGCGACCU
rnacentral:tRNA from 1 species